rnacentral:rRNA from 1 species
GACGAACGCUGGCGGCGUGCUUAACACAUGCAAGUCGAACGAAGUGGCGAACGGGUGAGUAACGCGUAAUCAACCUGCCCUUCAGAGGGGGACAACAGUUGGAAACGACUGCUAAUACCGCAUACUGAAGGAGGGGAUUGCGGCUGCUUAGCUCGGUGGAGGGGUAAAGGCCCACCAAGGGGAUGAUCAGUAGCCGGUCUGGGGGGGUGAACGGCCACAUUGGGAAUGGGACACGGCCCAGACUCCCUCGGGAGGCAGCAGUGGGGAAACUUCCGCAAUGGACGGAAGUCUGACGGAGCAACGCCGCGGGAGUGAUGACGGCCUUCGGGUUGUAAAGCUCUGUUAAUCGGGACGCGGUACCGGAAUAGAAAGCCGCGGCUAACUACGUGCCAGCAGCCGCGGUAAUAC